rnacentral:misc_RNA from 1 species
GGAAGGAUCAUUCACGCUAGAUCCACAAAAAGUUGAACAUGCUCUCAAAAGACAAAAAUUAAAACAUUCUCUGCGGUGGAUGUUUCGGUUCCCAUAUCGAUGAAGGACGUAGCAUUAUGCGAUAAUCAGUGCGAAUUGCAGAAGAAUGUGAACUUAUCAGGUAUCUUAACGCAUACGGCACACGAGACGUCUGUCUCACUGUGCGUUCGGCUCAGUGCAGUUAAUAGUAUCUUUCAGUGCCGACUUCUUAGCCGUCACCAAUAUUGUACAUUGGAGUUCGUCAGACUGAAAAUGAUCUCUCCAGUAUUGAAAACUCUUAUAGGACUGGAGCUCGAAUGCGGAAACCCGCUGAACUUAAGCAUAUUAGUAAGCGGAGGAGAAGUAACUAACCAGGAUCCCUUUAGUAGUUGCGAACGAACAGGGGAGAACUCAAAUUGAAAAUCGCAUGGGGUAUAUUUCAUGUGAAUUGUAGUGUGGAAUGCAGUUGCCGGCGUCUUGCCCAAGCAAAAGUCUCGUGGGAAAGAGCGCACAAAAGGGUGAGAGCCCCGUGUAAGCUUGGUGCUGGUCGCAUACGGCACGCUAUUUCAAGAGUCGCGUCUCUCGGGAAUGAAGCGCAAAUUGAAUGGUAAAUUUCAUUGAAGGUAAUAACAAAUAUGGGAAUCCGAUAGUGAAGAAGUACCGCGAGGGAAAAAUGAAAAGAACUUUGAAAAGAGAGUUAAAACUCCCUGAAGCUGCCGAGAAGGAAGCGGUUCGAACUGCUAUAAUAUCCGACAGAUCCCUUAAAACAGGUCGGUUUUGUCCUUAAACUUCUUAGGAGGUUCGAAGACAAAGCUGCCCCGUUGCUUGGGUCAUCUGCGGCAUUUUUGCGCUGUGUGUGUUUGCCCAAUGGACCAUCAACAUAAAAACCGACUAGUCCGGUCUGAGUGGUGAGAACCUGAUGGGCUUACUUACAAGGUGAAGCGGCAUUGUGGUGUUCUUUGAACCCUUUUGUCACAGCAACGGUUACUUGGUUCGCACCGACCCGUCUUGAAACACGGAUCAAGGAGUCCAACAUGAACACGAGUUGCAAGGUAUUACACCUUGGAGCACAAUGAAAAUGAAUAUGACACAAACAACCGACUACACUCAGAGGUUCGAGGGAGAGUGUCCAUGUUGGGACCCGAAAGAUGGUGAACUAUGCCUGGACAGGGUGAAGCCAGGGGAAACCCUGGUGGAAGCUCGCAGCGAUACUGACGUGCAAAUCGUUCGUCUAAUUUGGGUAUAGGGGCGAAAGACUAAUCGAACCAUCUAGUAGCUGGUUCCCUC